UUGACGGGGCCCGCACAAGCGGUGGAGCAUGUGGUUUAAUUCGACGCAACGCGAAGAACCUUACCAGGGCUUGACACUCCCUGACCGCGUAUGAAGACGUUUUCACCCUCGGGCAAUGGAUACAGGUGGUGCAUGGUUGUCGUCAGCUCGUGCCGUGAGGUGUUGGGUUAAGUCCCGCAACGAGCGCAACCCUCAUUGUUAGUUACUACCAUUCAGUUGAGGACUCUAAUGAGACUGCCAACGACAAGUUGGAGGAAGGUGGGGAUGACGUCAAAUCAUCAUGCCCUUUAUGACCUGGGCUACAAACGUACUACAAUGGCCAAUACAAAGAGAUGCGAAGCGGUGACGUGAAGCGAACCUCAGAAAGUUGGUCUCAGUUCAGAUUGAAGUCUGCAACUCGACUUCAUGAAGGCGGAAUCGCUAGUAAUCGCGGGUCAGCAGACCGCGGUGAAUACGUUCCCGGGUUUU
rnacentral:rRNA from 1 species